rnacentral:rRNA from 1 species
UUUAAAGUCUAAUCUGCCCUAUGAGGAAUUAAAUGGCCGCGGUAUUUUGACCGUGCAAAGGUAGCAUAAUAAUUAGUUUUUUAAUUGAAAGCUAGAAUGAAUGAUUGGACGAGAAAAUAGCUGUCUCAAUAUAAUUUUAUUAGAAUUUUAUUUUUAAGUAAGAAAGCUUAAAUUAAAUUAAAAGACGAGAAGACCCUAUAGAGUUUUAUAAUUAUUUGAUUAUUAAUUUUUUAGAAUUAUUUUAUUAAUAGUUAAUUAGUUAUUUUGUUGGGGCGAUAGAAAAAUAUAAAUAACUUUUUUUAAAAAAAUUAUCAUUAAUUUAUGAUUUUUUGAUCCAUUAUUUAUGAUUAUAAGAUUAAGUUACCUUAGGGAUAACAGCGUUAUUUUUUUUUAGAGUUCUUAUCGAAAAAAGAGAUUGCGACCUCGAUGUUGGAUUAAAAU